rnacentral:rRNA from 1 species
UAGGGAAUCUUCGGCAAUGGACGAAAGUCUGACCGAGCAACGCCGCGUGAGUGAAGAAGGCUUUCGGAUCGUAAAACUCUGUUGUUAGAGAAGAACAAGGACGUUAGUAACUGAACGUCCCCUGACGGUAUCUAACCAGAAAGCCACGGCUAACUACGUGCCAGCAGCCGCGGUAAUACGUAGGUGGCAAGCGUUGUCCGGAAUUAUUGGGCGUAAAGCGAGCGCAGGCGGUUUCUUAAGUCUGAUGUGAAAGCCCCCGGCUCAACCGGGGAGGGUCAAUGGAAACUGGGAGGCUUGAGUGCAGAAGAGGAGGGUGGAAUUCCAUGUGUAGCGGUGAAAUGCGUAGAUAUAUGGAGGAACACCAGUGGCGAAGGCGGCUCUCUGGUCUGUAACUGACGCUGAGGCUCGAAAGCGUGGGGAGCAAACAGG